CACAGACUUAUUAUUUUACUGAAAUGAUAGAAUAUUUAAUAUCUAACAUUAUCUGUGGACCAUAGACAAGGAAACACUGCCCAUGCCAUUGUUACAUGCUCUGUGGUCAUAAUAUUGUGCGUCAUGUAUGCGUGCGCAAAAACAGGAUAAUGCUCAGCAAUUUCUGCGACUUAAACCUCAAGAGGUUAGCGUCGCAGCGCUGAUUUUCAGCAUCUCCUUGGGUGACGUAAUGGCGUCCCGCCAGCUUCACUAAUCGCCAGCGAACAAGAAUGCAAAACAACAAAACAACGAAAUGAUCAAGUAGCCGGCAUGACCUGUAAAAUACAGAUAUACCUAUAUUGACCAUAAAUGAUGGGGGAGGCUGCAGCUACGAACAACAACCUGUUGGAUACCUGUGCAUCACCAUGUUGGAAGGCCGCGACCCUUGAGGCCUCGCAUUGGUGGUGGCAGGUUGUUCCAACAGUGAGUCGCAGCAUAUUUGAAGCUCCCCCUGAAGGCCGCUGUUCUGUGCUGAGGGAUGGAUAGUGGAUUUGUAGUUGAGCGUAUGUGGUUUAUUGAACUAUGCUGUCUCCACUGUAAUUUCUCAUACAGGUACCGUGGCUUUUGGGUAGUAAUAACUCCAAACAAUAGGCCUGCCAGGUGCAAACGUCUCCGAGCUUCCAUUUUUAAAAUAUUGUUUCGAUUCGCAAAAGGGGUGACAUGGC